rnacentral:rRNA from 1 species
AACUGAAGAGUUUGAUCAUGGCUCAGAUUGAACGCUGGCGGCAGGCUUAACACAUGCAAGUCGAGCGGGGGAAGGUAGCUUGCUACUGGACCUAGCGGCGGACGGGUGAGUAAUGCUUAGGAAUCUGCCUAUUAGUGGGGGACAACAUCUCGAAAGGGAUGCUAAUACCGCAUACGUCCUACGGGAGAAAGCAGGGGAUCUUCGGACCUUGCGCUAAUAGAUGAGCCUAAGUCGGAUUAGCUAGUUGGUGGGGUAAAGGCCUACCAAGGCGACGAUCUGUAGCGGGUCUGAGAGGAUGAUCCGCCACACUGGGACUGAGACACGGCCCAGACUCCUACGGGAGGCAGCAGUGGGGAAUAUUGGACAAUGGGGGGAACCCUGAUCCAGCCAUGCCGCGUGUGUGAAGAAGGCCUUAUGGUUGUAAAGCACUUUAAGCGAGGAGGAGGCUACUUUAGUUAAUACCUAGAGAUAGUGGACGUUACUCGCAGAAUAAGCACCGGCUAACUCUGUGCCAGCAGCCGCGGUAAUACAGAGGGUGCGAGCGUUAAUCGG